rnacentral:SRP_RNA from 1 species
GCUGGGCGUGGUGGUGUGCGCCUGUGGUCCCAGCUACUAGGGAGGCUGAGGCAGGAGAGUCACUUGAAUCCGGGAAGUGGAGGUUGCAGUGAGCCAAGAUUGUGUCACUGCACUCCAGCCUGGGGACAGGAGAGACUCCGUCUCAAAAAAAUUUUUUUUUUUUUUUUUGAGACGGAGUCUCGCUGUGUCGCCCAGGCUGGAGUGCAGUGGCGCGAUCUCGGCUCACUGCAAGCUCCGCCUCCCGGGUUCACGCCAUUCUCCCGCCUCAG